ACGCUUUCCAUAGAGCUCUGAGGAGGAGAAUGAAGAUGGCGGCCUCCCAAUAUCCGGCCUGAAGGAGCUGAGACCUUGGGGCCCCACUCCUCACUGCGCCCUCAGAGAAAAGCAGUCAGUCCCUUCUAUCUCCCUGGUCUCCGGCUGUGCUCUGUACUCACCUGGCCUGUUUCUGAGCAUUUCUAUCUCUGGCACACGGCCCCGUUUGGAGUCUCCAAACUCAGCUGAUUCCUGCAACACGCUGCUGCACCAUGCCUCCCAGAGGAAGGUUGCUCUUUGGUUUCACCUGCAAUUUCCUGUGCUCUUCCUCCAGGUUUUCCUGAAUCAUGUUUUGGCUCUGUCAUUGCAAAGUGUACUCUAGAAGGAAGUCACUACGUUUGACACUUAAGGAUCGCAGAAUGACACUUCCCCUCCUUGAAGUUG